rnacentral:rRNA from 1 species
GGCGGACGGGUGAGUAACGCGUGAGAAUCUAGCUACAGGUUGGGGACAACCACUGGAAACGGUGGCUAAUACCGAAUAAGCCGAAAGGUGAAAGAUUAAUUGCCUGGAGAUGAGCUCGCGUCUGAUUAGCUAGUUGGUAGGGUAAAGGCCUACCAAGGCAUCGAUCAGUAGCUGGUCUGAGAGGACGAUCAGCCACACUGGGACUGAGACACGGCCCAGACUCCUACGGGAGGCAGCAGUGGGGAAUUUUCCGCAAUGGGCGAAAGCCUGACGGAGCAAUACCGCGUGAGGGAGGAAGGCUCUUGGGUCGUAAACCUCUUUUCUCAGGGAAGAACAAAAUGACGGUACCUGAGGAAUAAGCAUCGGCUAACUCCGUGCCAGCAGCCGCGGUAAUACGGAGGAUGCAAGCGUUAUCCGGAAUGAUUGGGCGUAAAGCGUCCGCAGGUGGCAGUGUAAGUCUGCUGUCAAAGGUCAGGGCUUAACUCUGAACAGGCAGUGGAAACUACACAGCUAGAGUGCGGUGGGGGCAGAGGGAAUUCCCAGUGUAGCGGUGAAAUGCGUAGAGAUUGGGAAGAACACCGGUGGCGAAAGCGCUCUGCUAGGCCGUAACU